rnacentral:rRNA from 2 species
UACGGAGGGUGCAAGCGUUAUCCGGAUUCACUGGGUUUAAAGGGUGCGUAGGUGGGCUUGUAAGUCAGCGGUGAAAUCUCCGGGCUUAACCCGGAAACUGCCAUUGAUACUAUAAGUCUUGAAUUAUCUGGAGGUAAGCGGAAUAUGUCAUGUAGCGGUGAAAUGCUUAGAUAUGACAUAGAACACCAAUUGCGAAGGCAGCUUACUACGGAUCGAUUGACACUGAGGCACGAAAGCGUGGGGAUCAAACAGG